rnacentral:rRNA from 1 species
CAGCGCCGCAAGUGGCAAUCACGUUUAUUGGGCCUAAAGCGUCCGUAGCCGGUUUGAUAAAUCUUUUGUGAAAUUGUUAGGCUCAAUCUAACAACGUGCAGAAGACACUGUCAGGCUUGGAACCGGGAAGAGUCAGAAGUAUUAUUGGGGUAGCGGUAAAAUGCUAUAAUCCCUUUAAGACUACCGAUGGCGAAGGCAUCUGACUAGAACGGAUUCGACGGUGAGGGACGAAAGCCAGGGGAGCAAACCGGAUUAGAUACCCGAGUAGUCC